UGUUGGUGAAUAAGAGCAUAUACACUCGUCAUCGCCGGCUGUGGCAAGCGUUGGCAUGGCAUGGCAUGGCUCGGAUCUGGAGAAGUAGGCGAAACCUGCCAAGUCCUCCAAGCAGGCGAGGGUACGGAGCGUUGUCUGAGCGUCGUCAAGAGUGUUGAAAAGAAGUGAAUUGCGAGCUAAUGAAAAAAGGCAAGACGCAGGCAAGUCUGCCAACAAGAACGAAGACAGAUAGGGCGAUCGCGCUUCCAAGUACUCUUUAGCUCAUGUUGAGCGACUCUGUUUUUGGAACUUUGAAUAAUCAAUAUCGCGUUCAUCGCGGGCCCCAACUUCGUUGUCCAGUGAGUAGUGCUAAUGAAGAAAACGGGUGGCAGUGGAAAGCGAGUGAGUGAGCGAGCGAGAGAGGCGGAACGCGAGAUUAAAAAAAUCAGAUUGUCAUAUCAAGAUAUUACGCGAUGACGAAGAGUUCCCGUAGCAGACCAGCAGCGCAGAGUGCAGUAAAAAGUGCCAGACCGUGGACGUGGAUUCAAGUGAGCCGUAGACGCCGAGGAGAACGGUCAACCAACGUGGGUUGGGUUGGGUUUGCUUUGUUCGGGUCAUGACACCAGCGUCAUGUGUUUUGUUUUGGGCUGUUGGACGAAUGGAUUGAAAGGGCGAAAAAAAAACCAGCCUGUCAAGCAGACCCCAACCUGAGCGGACGUCACCUGCGUUUCGGGGGAGUGAAAUCCGAUCGAACUAUGGAAAAUGUCUGACAAAAUGGACAUAAUUUUGAUACAUUUUAUUCAACUCAACACGAACGAAAACUAUGUUUAGUGUUUAAGAAGCAAUUCAAGCUCACUAUCCUUCUGGGAUGAGACGAUAUCAGCUGGAGGAAUCGUGAGCUGAAAGCACACUCGCACACAUACAACCAGAGAGGUAGAAUCCACCAGAAUCCCAAGCACAUUGCUUAUCGGUUCAUAAUCUGCUUCGCGGAAAGACCAUUGAGUCUAGCUGACACAGAAGCGGGAAAGCGGAAACUGUUUUUUGUGCAGCGAUGAGAAGAACGGGGACGGCAAGUGGAGCGGCAUUGUAGAUGCUUUCCUGCUGAUAAGGCACCUUCCGAAUUCCCACCGAAGAACUUACUCUAAUUUGGAUGCAUUCGUUGUCAUUCGCACAAAGUCUCGAGUCUGCUUGCUAUCCUCCGGACUUGGUCCAGUUCUCUUCUUUUUUUUUUUUUCAAAUGACCCGCUGGCAACGGCAGUAUGAAGAGCGAUAAGAGUUCAAAAGAAAGCCAUUCCCCAAUUCUGACCAACUUCUUUUGAAGGAUCUUCGACCUGCACGAGAGCAGAUGGAUGUGGGUGGUCGAUAUCCGCACGCCAAUCUCUACAUACUCGGCACACACAUAAACUCGGCACAUGUGCGAGAAGGUUCGCUGGUUUUUACGUGGCGAUAGACGGGAAGCAGCGAAGCAGUGCGAGGGAAAGCUUUUCGUUAUCGCAAGAACCAUACUUCGCUUAUCGCUCCGGUCCGAUCAACAAUUUAUACACAAUACAGACCCACCACCGCCGCUCCACCACCAAAACCACCACCACUGCUGCCUGUUCAGAGACCAGCCGCCAUUCAUCCACCAGUGCAGCACCUCCGCCACUUCGUCAGUCGGUGGUCCAUUCAUCCAUCCAUCCAUUCGGCUCCAAUCUAUGGCUCUCGCGGCUAAACGUACUUUUUCCGCAACUACAACGGUAUAUCCUCCUGCCUGCCCGGUACCGCUGCGACCAAUUCGGCGCGAACGAUUGUCCUUCCUGGCGUCCUGGAUAUAUGUAGAGAGAGAGAGAGAGAGAAAGAGUACUCGGGGAACUCAGAGUCGGAUUCGAGGAUAAAGGUUUUGGCAGCUUUGACAGUGAGUAAUUAUUGAAUUAGAUUUUGCAAAACUAAAGCAUUUUCUUUUACAAACAUAUUUAAAGUCAAAUUUAUAUUAUUUUGACAUGACUUUUUAACUAAAUUUCAUACCCGUUUUUGCUAAUAGUCUUUUCAAUUUGCAACAACAUCAAAGGAUGAAAUCCUAGAGUUGCGAUUCAGAAUUGUUCAGAAAUGAACAAAAAUAUACAAAUGUAAGUAAAACUCUUUCUUAAAUUUGCAACAAGAAUUUAUUCUGAAGUUGAAAAUGACAAUGCCUGAGCUGAGACACAAAACUGAAACACGGUAAUAAUUGUAUAACGUUCGAAUAAUUAAUCCAAAAUCGUAAACAUUUCGCAAUCCCUAAUAACUAUUUUUACAAAUUUUAGGUUUUUUUAAACAGAUUAGUUUUCCAGCUUUGUGGAUGUUUUUAUUUUUCAGUUCAUCGAUUUGCUGAAUAUUUAUCGAUUUGAUGAAUCUUUUGAAUUUUGAUUCUUGUUCCUUGAAGGAUUCUCUGAAGCUUGGACACAUUACUGUCUCAGAUUCGCAAAUAAUUACAGGUCGGACUCGAUUAUCCGGAACAUAAAAAAAAAAUCAUUCCGAAUAAUCGAGAUUUCCGGAUAAUCAAAUCACAGAAAAAAACAUUCAAACUUGCGUUUAACGAAUAUAAAAUAAAUAUUUCCUUUUCUUAUUUUACUUGUAUGAUGCAGUGGCGUAACCAGAAAUUAUUUCUGAGGCGAAAAGGUGUGAUUUCUUCGAACCUGUCCCAAACAUGCCGGAAUUGACAUGAAUGAUAACAAAUAUGCCGGAAGGAUGGUAAAGGUAGAAUUUCGGAUUGAAAAUUGAAAACGAACGCCAAAAAAUGAAAUUCCGGAUAAUCGAAUUCCGGAUAAUCGAGUCCGACAUGUAUUAUAUUUAUUUUUAUAUUUUACGAUUCUUUUCUUAAGAUUUUGGGGUUCCUAAGUGGUUUUAAGGUCUUUGAAUUUCUGAAAAUGUGGUUUACUUAAAAAUUCUAAUCCUAUCAUGUCAAGAUUCCUGGAUGCUUAGAAUGUUGGAUUCGAGAUUUUCGUUAUUUUUUAAUCUUGGUUCUUGAAUCUGAGGAUUACUUAAUUCUUUGAUUCACGAUCUGUAGAAUUCUUUAACUUAUCGUGAAUUUUAUUUAAUUAUUGAUUUCUGAAUUCUGCGGUCUAAACAUUUUUGAAUUUUCUAUUCCUGGAUUUGAUGCCUUUACUCUUGGAUCCCUGGAAUAGAGUGUUCAUGUACUUUAGCAUUUUUCGAAUGUUAAUUGCACGAUUUCGGAUCCAAGAUUCUUGGAUACACACAAUGCUAAAUUUAUUUGGAUUUUUUAGCUGUUGAAUAUUUGGAAUAUAAUUUUUCGGAUUCAUCAUUUUGAGGUGUCAGAUAUAUGGUUUAUACUACUUCUCGCUUUCUAAGUUCUUUGAUUCGUUGAUUUUUUUUAUUGUAUCUCGGAUUUUUUGCAUUUUUGAGUUCUAGAUUUAAAAAUUCUUGAAUUUUUGGAUUAUUGGAAGAGUUUUGGAUUUUGGAUGCAACUGUAGUAUGCUGGAUUUGCUUGUUUUUGGAUUAUGCGAUUCAACGAUACCUCGAAUCCUGUUUUUUAUGUUUUUUAUAACUUUAGAUUUCAGGAAUAUUAUGUUCUCAUACUUUUAGACACUUUAUAUGUUAUCUGUUGUAGAUUUCCAAAUUGUUGGAUAGCUGGAUUGUCGAGUUUAAUGUUCGUCGAAUUCGAAAUGCCUUGUAUCGAACUUCCUGGAAACUCCUUUCGGAAUUUCAUAUUAUUAUAUUUUUUUAAAUCUUGAAUUUCUGUACCGCGACGCGAGACAGGACAUAACACUUAUUAUUCUUACAAAACAUAAAAAGUAGUAAAUUUACCUUUUUCGUCUACGUUGGCACAAGGAAAUUAAUAGAGUGACUUGAAUUUCUGGUUUAUUGGAAGUUGGAUUAACGUUUGUAUUAAAAGAAAUGGACAAAAUGACGAAACUUUCCAUGCAGCAUCAAUCAUAGUAACCUAUGAGUCAGCAAAGAAAAAAUGACAGCUCUA